UCUUUCAACACUGUGAGAAGUGAUGAAAAAAACAAUGCAGUGAUUUUUAUAUUCUUGUGUCAUUAACUCUUCAAUAAUUUUCCCUUUUUUUUUUUUUUUUUUAAUUUUCAUCUGCAUUGUUAUAGGUGUUCAGCAAGAGAGAGAAACUUUUGGAUUAAUUUUACAAAACAUGAGCAUUUGAGUGGUCACAAGGAUUAAGCUGCGGUUUCAUCAUCUUUUGCUUAUUUCUCAACUGAAAGAAUAAGCUGUGAAAUCAAUUGGUUCCAGCAGGAAUGAUUAUGCACCUCAGGCUGAUUUCAGGAGACUCUCUGGAAGAAGUAGAAAAUACCUGGAUAUGUACAUCUGUGUUGGCUUCUCAAAUCACUGUUCAGCUCCUUCCCAAAUGAGCUCUGAAGAUGGAAAUCUAAACUCCUAAUGAAGCAGGCCAGCAGGUUGGAAGAAAGAUCAAAAAGCAUGUCUGGCAAUGUGACCGAUGGGCAGUACACUGGAGAUGAAAGACUCUGCAACUCCAGCCUCUUGGGAAGAGUCACUGAAAAGAAAGCAGAAGAUGGAUGGCCUGCGGAGGAGAGCUCCAGCAAAGCUAAUGAUGACCCUUGAGGACUGUGUGUGGAUAACAGAUGAUGCAGGAUUCCCUCCCGUAAGCAAGUGCA
rnacentral:lncRNA from 1 species